rnacentral:rRNA from 1 species
UGGCGGCAGGCCUAAACAUGCAAGUCGAGCGGGAAACAGAGAGCUUGCUCUCGGGUGACGAGCGGCGGACGGGUGAGUAAUGUCUGGGAAACUGCCUGAUGGAGGGGGAUAACUACUGGAAACGGUAGCUAAUACCGCAUAACGUCGCAAGACCAAAGAGGGGGACCUUCGGGCCUCUUGCCAUCAGAUGUGCCCAGAUGGGAUUAGCUAGUAGGUGGGGUAACGGCUCACCUAGGCGACGAUCCCUAGCUGGUCUGAGAGGAUGACCAGCCACACUGGAACUGAGACACGGUCCAGACUCCUACGGGAGGCAGCAGUGGGGAAUAUUGCACAAUGGGCGCAAGCCUGAUGCAGCCAUGCCGCGUGUAUGAAGAAGGCCUUCGGGUUGUAAAGUACUUUCAGCGGGGAGGAAGGUGUUGAGGUUAAUAACCUCAGCAAUUGACGUUACCCGCAGAAGAAGCACCGGCUAACUCCGUGCCARCAGCCGMGRUMAUACKGAGGGUGCAAGCGUUACGGGAAAUUACUGGGGCGUAAAGCACGCAGGCGGUCUGUCAGUCGGAUGUGAAAUCCCCGGGCUCAACCUGGGAACUGCAUUCGAAACUGGCAGGCUAGAGUCUGUAGAGGGGGGGUAGAAUUACCAGGUGUAGCGGUGAAAUGCGUAGAGAUCUGGAGGAAUACCGGUGGCGAAGGCGGCCCCCUGGACAAAGACUGACGCUCAGGUGCGAAAGCGUGGGGAGCAAACAGGAUUAGAUACCCUGGUAGUCCACGCCGUAAACGAUGUCGACUUGGAGGUUGUGCCCUUGAGGCGUGGCUUCCGGAGCUAACGCGUUAAGUCGAACGACUGGGAGUUACGUCCGCAAGGUUAAAACUCAAAUGAAUUGACGGGGGCCCGCACAAGCGGUGGAGCAUGUGGUUUAAUUCGAUGCAACGCGAAGAACCUUACCUACUCUUGACAUCCAGAGAACUUUCCAGAGAUGGAUUGGUGCCUUCGGGAACUCUGAGACAGGUGCUGCAUGGCUGUCGUCAGCUCGUGUUGUGAAAUGUUGGGUUAAGUCCCGCAACGAGCGCAACCCUUAUCCUUUGUUGCCAGCGGUUCGGCCGGGAACUCAAAGGAGACUGCCAGUGAUAAACUGGAGGAAGGUGGGGAUGACGUCAAGUCAUCAUGGCCCUUACGAGUAGGGCUACACACGUGCUACAAUGGCGCAUACAAAGAGAAGCGACCUCGCGAGAGCAAGCGGACCUCAUAAAGUGCGUCGUAGUCCGGAUUGGAGUCUGCAACUCGACUCCAUGAAGUCGGAAUCGCUAGUAAUCGUAGAUCAGAAUGCUACGGUGAAUACGUUCCCGGGCCUUGUACACACCGCCCGUCACACCAUGGGAGUGGGUUGCAAAAGAAGUAGGAGCUUUACUUCGGGAGGGCGCUUACCUAACACAUGCAAGUCGAGCGGUAGCACAGAGAGCUUGCUCUCGGGUGACGAGCGGCGGACGGGUGAGUAAUGUCUGGGAAACUGCCUGAUGGAGGGGGAUAACUACUGGAAACGGUAGCUAAUACCGCAUAACGUCGCAAGACCAAAGAGGGGGACCUUCGGGCCUCUUGCCAUCAGAUGUGCCCAGAUGGGAUUAGCUAGUAGGUGGGGUAACGGCUCACCUAGGCGACGAUCCCUAGCUGGUCUGAGAGGAUGACCAGCCACACUGGAACUGAGACACGGUCCAGACUCCUACGGGAGGCAGCAGUGGGGAAUAUUGCACAAUGGGCGCAAGCCUGAUGCAGCCAUGCCGCGUGUAUGAAGAAGGCCUUCGGGUUGUAAAGUACUUUCAGCGGGGAGGAAGGUGUUAGGUUAAUUUCCUCUUCAAUGACGUUACCCGCAGAAGAAGCACCGGCUAACUCCGUGCCAGCAGCCGCGGUAAUACGGAGGGUGCAAGCGUUAAUCGGAAUUACUGGGCGUAAAGCGCACGCAGGCGGUCUGUCAAGUCGGAUGUGAAAUCCCCGGGCUCAACCUGGGAACUGCAUUCGAAACUGGCAGGCUAGAGUCUUGUAGAGGGGGGUAGAAUUCCAGGUGUAGCGGUGAAAUGCGUAGAGAUCUGGAGGAAUACCGGGGCGAAGGCGGCGCCCUGACAAAGACUGACGCUCAGGUGCGAAAGCGUGGGGAGCAAACAGGAUUAGAUACCCUGGUAGUCCACGCCGUAAACGAUGUCGACUUGGAGGUUGUGCCCUUGAGGCGUGGCUUCCGGAGCUAACGCGUUAAGUCGACCGCCUGGGGAGUACGGCCGCAAGGUUAAAACUCAAAUGAAUUGACGGGGGCCCGCACAAGCGGUGGAGCAUGUGGUUUAAUUCGAUGCAACGCGAAGAACCUUACCUACUCUUACAUCCAGAGAACUUUCCAGAGAGGAUUGGU